rnacentral:rRNA from 1 species
UACGAAGGGGGCUAGCGUUGCUCGGAAUGACUGGGCGUAAAGGGCGCGUAGGCGGAUCAUACAGUCAGAUGUGAAAUUCCUGGGCUUAACCUGGGGGCUGCAUUUGAUACGUGUGGUCUAGAGUGUGAAAGAGGGUCGUGGAAUUCCCAGUGUAGAGGUGAAAUGCGUAGAUAUCGGAAGGAACAUCAGUGGCGAAAGCGGCUUCCUGGACCAGCACCGACGUCAGGCACGAAAGCGUGGGGGAGCAAACAGG